rnacentral:lncRNA from 1 species
AUAGAUUAAGUUUCUCAGUAAAGUUAGGUUAGGCACCAAGGAUGAAAGCCUCGAAUGAGAUUGCUGAUGCAAAACUGUCUUGCAAAAGAGAAGAGUGUAAUUUACUAGCACGAAUUUACCUCUAGCUCCAACUCUUCCUAUUAUUAUAGGUAAUUUCUGAAGGCAUUCUAACAGGUAAUCAAGAAUCUUCUGGUCAAUAGCGUUGAUGAGCUGUCUCUGAGUUUGGGGUUUGACUCCCCUGAUGUCAUCUACUAUGUGUUUCAGCUGUAACUGCUGCAGCAAUGGUCAGCACCUGGGAGUCUGGAGCCUCAUAAGGAGGUCUACAUAUGUUUUCAGAUAUCUGUCUACGAUGAGUAAUGUCUCUGUGAUGUUAGGGGAACUUUCAGUAAGACCACCAAGCAUCAUUUUCUUCAUCUGUAGAGAGAUUAAUGUGUACCUACUCCCAAUGCAACAUGCCUAAUAUCACCAAGAUGGAAAAUUUGCGUUUUCUGGAUUGAUACCUACACCCUAGAAUAACAAACACUAUGUAAAAAUUUAUUGAAUGAAGAGAUGUUCCAUAAAGAACCUAAACAGUAAAGAAACACCACUGAUAUACUUUUUUGCACUUAGAAAGCUCUGCUCACAUAAUAUAUACUCACCGAUAAGUGGAUAUUAGUCCAGAAACUUAGAAUACCCAAGAUAUAAGAUACAAUUUGCAAAACACAAGAAACUCAAGAAGAAGGAAGACAAAAGUGUGGACACUUUGCUCCUUCUUAGAAUUGGGGAAAAAACACCCAUGGAAGGAGUUACAGAGACAAAGUUUGGAGCUGAGAUGAAAGGAUGGACCAUCUAGAAACUGCCAUAUCCAGGGAUCCAUCCCAUAAUCAGCUUCCAAACGCUGACACCAUUGCAUACACUAGCAAGAUUUUGCUGAAAGGACCCAGAUAUAGCUGUCUCUUGUGAGGCUAUGCCAGGGCCUAGCAAACACAUAAUUGGAUGCUCACAGUCAGCUAUUGGAUGGAUCACAGGGCCCCCAGUGGAGAAGCUAGAGAAAGCACCCAAGGAGCUGGGGGGAUCUGCAACCCUAUAGGUGGAACAACAAUAUGAACUAACCAGUACCCCCCCAGAGCUCAUGUCUCUAGCUGCAUAUGUAUCAGAAGAUGGCCUAGUUGGCCAUCAGUGGAAAGAGAGGCCCAUUGGUCGUGCAAUCUUUAUCUGCCUCAGUACAGGGGAAUGCCAGAGCCAAGAAGUGGCAGUGGGUGGAUGGGGGAGCAUGUGGGGGACUUUUGGGAUAACAUUGGAAAUGUAAAUGAAAUAAAUACCUAAUAAAAAAGAAAGAAAGCUCUGCUCCACAUAGAAGCCAUCCUUAUAUGAAAUAUUGUUAAAAAUCUAUGAGUUGCAGCAUUUCAACUGAUUGUCAAAUGCUGUCAAUGGGAGCCACCUGUGGGAAAUAGAGGUGGGUGUGGGUGAUAUACACAAGUCACAGAGGGUGAGGCACACUGCCUUGGGUAGAUUUUCUUCAUCCGCAGGCUUUCAAAAGUCUUCAUUAUUCACUGGGGAAUUGUGAUCUUCUAGAAAGAGACUAAGAUACAUGGCUCAGGCCUAUGUGAUCCGAGGACCCUUUUGUCAUAGACUGUUACAUCAUACUAGAAUACCUUCUUGGGAAAUAUGGACCUAAUCAUAAGUAGUAGAACAGACCUAGGAAAAGAUUUAUUUUUAUAGGGCAGUAAAAUCCUUUCAGGUCAGGGAAGACUUAUUCAGGGAUGAGAUGUGGAGUUCUCAUAACCCAAGGCAGCCAUUGGGGAGAUUUCAUUCCAAUGAAGCAGUUAGAUGAGUGAAAACAAAUGAACAUAAAAUAAGUAUAUAAUAACACCUAGGGAGAAUUAAACAUCUCUCCACUUAACAGCUGUCACAGAGAUAAUCGUAGCAACUAGAUUGAUUGUGGAAGAUGAAACUGUAAGUUUAAAAGGGAAGCAGCUGAGUUUGCUUAUAUCACCUGCAAAGGGACUACUUUUCUUUGGCAGAUUGAUAUUGCACAAAGGUUUGAAGUUUCAUUAAAGACGUAUGGCUGGAUGGCGAUGUGGUGUGUUACAGAACCUGUGUGGAUAAUCAGACAAUGCAUUGUAUCGCACUAUCAGGAAAUGCAAUGGUACUAAUGCCGCCUGCAUCAUGCUCUCCCUUGAACAGCACCUUUACACAAAGAAGCAGUUUGACAUUGUGUUAAGCCUGUAACAAUAAAAAUAUCAUCAGCACAUUUAUUAUAUAAUGACAGGUGGAUGUAUGUCCAUUGGGAUCUCCUUUUCCAAUUUUAUAAUUUUAUAACACUUUAGUAUCUAUUGUAACUUUGAAAAGUAGUUGCUUUCCCAUCCUAAUAAAGUCCUUGUAUGCAUAAUGAAAGAAUUAAAAAAAUAAAAAAAUGAAAUAUGAACAGCC